AACGAACGCUGGCGGCAGGCUUAACACAUGCAAGUCGAACGCCCCGCAAGGGGAGUGGCAGACGGGUGAGUAACGCGUGGGAAUCUACCCAUCUCUGCGGAAUAGCUGUGGGAAACUGGAAUUAAUACCGCAUACGCCCUACGGGGGAAAGAUUUAUCGGGGAGGGAUGAGCCCGCGUUGGAUUAGCUAGUUGGUGGGGUAAAGGCCGACCAAGGCGACGAUCCAUAGCUGGUCUGAGAGGAUGAUCAGCCACAUUGGGACUGAGACACGGCCCAAACUCCUACGGGAGGCAGCAGUGGGGAAUAUUGGACAAUGGGCGCAAGCCUGAUCCAGCCAUGCCGCGUGAGUGAUGAAGGCCUCAGGGUUGUAAAGCUCUUUCACCGAUGAAGAUAAUGACGGUAGUCGGAGAAGAAGCCCCGGCUAACUUCGUGCCAGCCGCCGCCGUAA
rnacentral:rRNA from 1 species